rnacentral:rRNA from 1 species
UUCCAGCUCCAAUAGCGUAUAUUAAAGUUGCUGCAGUUAAAAAAGCUCGUAGUUGAACCUUGGGCCUGGCUGGCCGGUCCGCCUCACCGCGUGCACUGGUCCGGCCGGGCCUUUCCUUCUGGGGAGCCGCAUGCCCUUCACUGGGUGUGUCGGGGGAACCAGGACUUUUUACUUGAAAAGAUUAGAGUGUUCAAAGCAGGCCUAUGCUCGAAUGCAUUAGCAUGGAAUAAUAGAAUAGGACGUGUAGUUCUAUUUUGUUGGGUUUCUAGGACCGCCGUAAUGAUUAAUAGGGAUAGCCGGGGGGCAUCAGUAUUCAAUUGUCAGAGGUGAAAUUCUUGGAUUUAUUGAGGACUAACUACUGCGAAAGCAUUUGCCAAGGAU